rnacentral:piRNA from 1 species
AGGGGUGAUUAAAACAAUCUGUGGUAUGC